rnacentral:rRNA from 1 species
UUCGUAGGCGGUGUGGCAAGUCGGAAGUGAAAUCUCCAGGCUCAACUUGGAGGCUGCUCCCGAAACUGCCAUGCUAGAGUGCGGGAGAGGCGAGUGGAAUUGCAGGUGUAGCGGUGAAAUGCGUAGAUAUCUGCAGGAACACCCGUGGCGAAGGCGGCUCGCUGGACCGCAACUGACGCUGAGGAACGAAAGCUAGGGGAGCAAACAGGAUUAGAUACCCUGGUAGUCCUAGCCCUAAACGAUCAGGACUUGGGGUGCAUCCCGUUGGGGGUGCGUCCCGUAGCUAACGCGUUAAGUCCUGCGCCUGGGGAGUACGGUCGCAAGGCUGAA